AACUUACAAAUUAAUUUGGACCCUCACAAGAAACAAACACCUGCUCCUCCAUUAAAAAAAAAUCCCUUUAUAUGAAGUUCCCCUUGACAGAAUAUUUGCACAGCCACAGCUUCUGUGCUUUACUCUUAGAACUACGACUUCCAGGGAGGACACUGAUCUUAUGCUAUCUUUCACCCCAAGUCUCUUGGGAAGGAUUCAUUCAUACAACUUGACUCCUAUGUCCACUCCUAAGCCAACAGCCAUGCCAGGGAUGAGGAAGGGGUCAGAGUCAUGAUAGUAGAUGGAAAGAUAGAAAGAUAGAUAGAUAGGUAGGUAGAUAGGUAGAUAGACAGAUAGAUAGAUGUAUGGAUGUAUGGAUGGAUGUUUCCAUGAAACUAUGUGGAUAGCAAGGGGUGGUACCCCUAAAUACAGCUGGGAAGAUAAUCCCACAGAUGACUGACACAACCACUCCUGCCUUGGACUUGGUGCUUGUGCCUGGCCUUCCAGCUUCCCUCUUGGCUCUUUCUAAAGGGCUUUUAUCUCAGGUUCUCUUUACUGUUUCUUCCUCUCUAUACUGUCUCAAGUGAUGUAAACACCCUCAGACCUGAUUGCUGGAGAUCCAAAUCCACUUGCUUGACCAGUGUCUUAAUAGGACUACACACCCACUCCUUAUGAUAAAGUUUAAAAAAAAA